CAUCCAGGUCCGCCAAAGAGGGAGCAUCACUCCGCGCAUCCGAACUCCUGAAACUGGGUCAGACGACGCCAUUAGGAAUAUCCUGGAGCAGGCCAAGAAGGAGAUCCAGUCCCAGAGGGGAGGCGAUGGCAAAUCAUCUCUGAACAGCUCAUCGGGCAGAAGCAGUAACGGUCCAGGGAGCAGCUCUGAUGAAACCAUAAAGAG